CCUACGGGGGGCAGCAGUGGGGAAUAUUGCACAAUGGGGGAAACCCUGAUGCAGCAACGCCGCGUGAGCGAUGAAGGCCUUCGGGUCGUAAAGCUCUGUCCUAAGGGAAGAAUGCUGACGGUACCUUAGGAGGAAGCCCCGGCUAACUACGUGCCAGCAGCCGCGGUAAUACGUAGGGGGCUAGCGUUAUCCGGAAUUACUGGGCGUAAAGGGUGCGUAGGCGGCCCUUCAAGUCCGAGGUGAAAGGCUACGGCUCAACCGUAGUAAGCCUUUGAAACUGUAGGGCUUGAGUGCAGGAGAGGGGAGUGGAAUUCCCAGUGUAUCGGUGAAAUGCGUAGAUAUUGGGAGGAACAUCAGGUGGGAAGGCUGCGCUCUAGACUGGAACUGCCGCUGGUGCACGAAGGCGUGGGGAGCGAACAGGAUUAGAUACCCGGGUAGUC
rnacentral:rRNA from 1 species